UAGGGAAUCUUCCGCAAUGGACGCAAGUCUGACGGAGCAACGCCGCGUGAGUGAAGGAGGAUUUCGGUUCGUAAAACUCUGUUGUUAGAGAAGAACAGCGCAUAGAGUAACUGUUAUGCGUGUGACGGUAUCUAACCAGAAAGCCACGGCUAACUACGUGCCAGCAGCCGCGGUAAUACGUGGGUGGCAAGCGUUGUCCGGAUUUAUUGGGCGUAAAGCGAGCGCAGGCGGUCAAUUAAGUCUGAUGUGAAAGCCCCCGGCUCAACCGGGGAGGGUCAUUGGAAACUGGUUGACUUGAGUGCAGAAGGGGAGAGUGGAAUUCCAUGUGUAGCGGUGAAAUGCGUAGAUAUAUGGAGGAACACCGGUGGCGAAAGCGGCUCUCUGGUCUGUAACUGACGCUGAGGCUCGAAAGCGUGGGGAGCGAACAGG
rnacentral:rRNA from 1 species